GACGAACGCUGGCGGCGUGCUUAACACAUGCAAGUCGAACGAUGAACCUCGAAAUGAUUUCUUCGGAAAGAUUUUUGAGAGGAUUAGUGGCGAACGGGUGAGUAACGCGUGAGCAACCUGCCUUAGACAAGGGGAUAGCCUCGGGAAACCGUGAUUAAUACCCUAUGAGACUCCACUUACGAGUGUAAGAGAAGUUAAAGCUAUUGCGGUCUAAGAUGGGCUCGCGUCUGAUUAGCUAGUUGGUGAGAUAAAAGCCCACCAAGGCGACGAUCAGUAACCGGCUUGAGAGAGUGAGCGGUCACAUUGGAACUGAGACACGGUCCAAACUCCUACGGGAGGCAGCAGUGGGGAAUAUUGCACAAUGGGGGCAACCCUGAUGCAGCGACGCCGCGUGAGCGAUGAAGGAAUUCGUUUCGUAAAGCUCUGUCCUUGGAGAAGAUAAUGACGGUAACCAAGGAGGAAGCACCGGCUAAAUACGUG
rnacentral:rRNA from 1 species